UCUGGUGAUCCAAUUCCCAGGGUGAAACACGCGUUCCCAUUCCGACCACGACCGUUAAGCCCCUGGGGCCGAUGAUACUGCCGGGAAUUUCGCUGGCGGGAAAGUAGGUUGUUGCCAGGC
rnacentral:rRNA from 1 species